CAGUAGCCGCGGGAAUACGUAGGUGGCAAGCGUUGUCCGGAAUUAUUGGGCGUAAAGGGCUCGCAGGCGGUUCCUUAAGUCUGAUGUGAAAGCCCCCGGCUCAACCGGGGAGGGUCAUUGGAAACUGGGAAACUUGAGUGCAGAAGAGGAGAGUGGAAUUCCACGUGUAGCGGUGAAAUGCGUAGAGAUGUGGAGGAACACCAGUGGCGAAGGCGACUCUCUGGUCUGUAACUGACGCUGAGGAGCGAAAGCGUGGGGAGCGAACAGGAUUAGAUACCCCAGUAGUCCCUGUCUCUUAUAC
rnacentral:rRNA from 1 species